AGAAAGAAGCAAGAGGA
rnacentral:miRNA from 1 species